rnacentral:rRNA from 1 species
UACGUAGGGGGCAAGCGUUGUCCGGAUUUAUUGGGCGUAAAGAGCGUGUAGGCGGCUAGGUAGGUCCGCUGUGAAAACUUGAGGCUCAACCUCAAGAGGUCGGUGGAAACCAUCUGGCUAGAGUCCGGGAGAGGUGAGUGGAACUGCGAGUGUAGAGGUGAAAUUCGUAGAUAUUCGCAAGAACACCAGUGGCGAAGGCGGCUCACUGGCCCGGUACUGACGCUGAGGUGCGAAAGCGUGGGGGAGCAAACAGG